GACGAACGCUGGCGGCAUGCCUAACACAUGCAAGUCGAACGGAGAUUAUUUCGGUAAUCUUAGUGGCGAACGGGUGAGUAACGCGUGGGCAACCUGCCCUCUAGAUGGGGACAACAUCCCGAAAGGGGUGCUAAUACCGAAUGUGACAGCAAUCUCGCAUGAGGAUGCUGUGAAAGAUGGCCUCUAUUUAUAAGCUAUCGCUAGAGGAUGGGCCUGCGUCUGAUUAGCUAGUUGGUGGGGUAACGGCCUACCAAGGCGAUGAUCAGUAGCGGGUCUGAGAGGAUGAACGGCCACAUUGGGACUGAGACACGGCCCAGACUCCUACGGGAGGCAGCAGUGGGGAAUCUUCCGCAAUGGGCGAAAGCCUGACGGAGCAAUGCCGCGUGAGUGAUGAAGGAAUUCGUUCCGUAAAGCUCUUUUGUUUAUGACGAAUGUGCAGAUUGUGAACAAUGAUCUGUAAUGACGGUAGUAAACGAAUAAGCCACGGCUAACUACGUG
rnacentral:rRNA from 1 species